UAUUUUAUGAAUCCAUAAAAAAAUCCCAAAAACUAAUAUUUAUUUUGACCAUUUUUAUUAGGUAGAAAACUAGUGCAUUUUACGUUGUUUUUAGGCCUUUUAAUGGAUUUUAUUUUAUUGUUUCCUUGUUCUAAGUGAUCAUAGAUGUUUGUGUGACUAAUGUAUAUUUGUUUAGGUCUUGUUUGAUGCUUGUGUGACCAAUGUAUAUUUGUUUAG
rnacentral:lncRNA from 1 species